rnacentral:rRNA from 1 species
AGCCUGCGGUUCAAUUGGAUUCAACGCCGAAAUCUUACCGGACCGACAGCAAUAUGAAGGCCAGGCUGAAGACUUUGCCGGAUUAGCUGAGAGGUGGUGCAUGGCCGUCGUCAGUUCGUACUGUGAAGCAUCCUGUUAAGUCAGGCAACGAGCGAGACCCACGCCCACAGUUGCCAGCGUACUCUCUGGAGUGACGGGUACACUGUGGGACCGCCGCUGCUAAAGCGGAGGAAGGAAUGGGCAACGGUAGGUCAGUAUGCCCCGAAUAUCCCGGGCUACACGCGAGCUACAAUGGUUGGUACAAUGGGUAUCUACCCCGAAAGGGGACGGGAAUCUCCUAAAACCAAUCUUAGUUCGGAUUGAGGGCUGCAACUCGCCCUCAUGAAGCUGGAAUCCGUAGUAAUCGCGUUUCAACAGAACGCGGUGAAUACGUCCCCUGCUCCUU